rnacentral:snRNA from 1 species
GUUCUCACUUCAACAGCACAUAUACCAAAACUGGAAUAACAGAGAUUAGUGAGGCCCUUCCAAAAAGACAGCAGGCAAAUUCAUGAAUCAUUCCUUAUUUUU